rnacentral:lncRNA from 1 species
UCAGAAUACCGCUGCCCAUCUCAGCUUUCUUGAGCUUUGUGUCAUGUAUUUGCACACUUGGUGUUGUCCUGAACACACAUGACACACCAGGAAUCGCAUCUGGAGCACUAGAAGAUGAGCACAUAGGUUUGCACACGAAGGGGGUCUCACGAGGGAUUUGAAUGAAUACCUGGCAACAAGAACACAUGGCAAUCAUAGCCGUCUGAAUCUGAGAUGGUGUCACUCAAGUGGAUGAUUGAAAAUGACAAGCAAGCAUCAAUGCCAGAUGAUGACAGGACCUUUACGGCCUCCUUUUCAUGCAAAUCUGUUGAUGUUUGCGUGUGUGUGUGUGUUUAACCAUGCAUAUUUCUAUGUACUCUCCAACACCAAAUGGAAACUAUUGGAUGCAGAUGCUGACCAAUCUCUGAGACAAGAUGCCAUCUGCCAGCUUCAUGCAUCAACAUGCCAACCUUCGCUCAACAUUUCAAGCUUAUGAACUCUUCAUCUACCUUUGCUUCAAGAUGAGAGGAUCACACCAUGUAGACUGUGCAGAGCCUGUUUAGAUAAGCAACAAAACAAUCAACCUCGAACGCUAAUUUCCCUCCCUGUAUCUUCAAACUCCACCUUCGUUCCUGCAACACAUGCAGCCCAUCAUGGACAAAAGUUCUACUUUUACAACGUUGGAGAGAGAGAGAGAGAGAGAGAGAGAGCAGAGUGCAGCUGCAGAGCAUGACAACGCCACUCCGGUUUGUGUCCCCGAAGCCAACGCCUCUCUUUGUCUCCAUCCUCCCUGCACACUCUCUCUGCUUGGUUCGCACCUUUUUUACUUCUCUCUCCAAGAAAUGCCUGCAAAGGUCCUAUCUUUUUCACCUGCCUACCCAAUCCAAGCCCACCCAUGGCGGCUUCCCUCCGUG